rnacentral:rRNA from 1 species
CCUACGGGUGGCUGCAGUGAGGAAUAUUGGUCAAUGGGCGAGAGCCUGAACCAGCCAAGUCGCGUGCGGGACGACGGUCCUAUGGAUUGUAAACCUCUUUUGUCGGGGGACAAAGCUGCACACGGGUGUGCGGCUGAGUGUACCCUACGAAAAAGCAUCGGCUAACUCCGUGCCAGCAGCCGCGGUAAUACGGAGGAUGCAAGCGUUAUCCGGAUUUCUUGGGUUUAAAGGGUGCGUAGGCGGACAGUAAAGUGAGCGGUAAAAAUGCGGUGCUAAACGCCGUACAGCCGUUUAUACUGGCAGUCUUGAGUGGGCAAGAAGUAGGCGGAAUGCGUGGUGUAGCGGUGAAAUGCAUAGAUAUCACGCAGAACUCCGAUUGCGAAGGCAGCAUACCGGCGCCCUACUGACGCUGAGGCACGAAAGCGUGGGUAUCGAACAGGAUUAGAUACCCCAGUAGUC